rnacentral:rRNA from 1 species
UACGAAGGGGGCUAGCGUUGUUCGGAAUUAUUGGGCGUAAAGGGCGCGUAGGCGGUUUGACAAGUCUGAUGUGAAAUCUAUGGGCUCAACCCAUAGCCUGCAUUAGAAACUGUCGGGCUUGAGUAUGGGAGAGGUGAGUGGAAUUUCCGGUGUAGCGGUGAAAUGCGUAGAUAUCGGAAGGAACACCUGUGGCGAAAGCGGCUCACUGGACCAUAACUGACGCUGAGGCGCGAAAGCUAGGGGAGCAAACAGG